rnacentral:rRNA from 1 species
UUGCUCUUCAACGAGGAAUUCCUAGUAGGCGUGAGUCAUCAGCUCGCGUCGAUUACGUCCCUGCCCUUUGUACACACCGCCCGUCGCUACUACCGAUUGAAUGGCUUAGUGAGGUCUUCGAAUUGGCUCCGGGAAGCCGGCAACGGCAUCCUGUUGCUGAGAAGUUGAUCAAACUUGGUCAUUUAGAGGAAGUAAAAGUCGUAACAAGGUUUCCGUAGGUGAACCUGCGGAAGGAUCAUUAUCGAGUCCAAUCCAGCUUAUUCUUGCUGUGCAUUUACUUGCACGCUCGGACAGGUUGGCUCUUUGACUUUACACACCUGUGCACCUUCGGUCUGCACUUUCCGACUUGAGCGAAAUUUAUUUUGCCCAAGUCCGCUCCUCGGAGUGGGAUUAGAAUCUUGCGUUGAAUUUAUUUUCAUAGCUCGUUCUGCAGGAAAGUCGUCCGUUUUUUUACACCUUUUUUGUAUGUCUCUGAAAAUUUUCGAUUGCUCUGUGAUGGGGCGAUCGUUCAAAUUAAAUACAACUUUCAGCAACGGAUCUCUUGGCUCUCCCAUCGAUGAAGAACGCAGCGAACUGCGAUACGUAAUGUGAAUUGCAGAAUUCAGUGAAUCAUCGAAUCUUUGAACGCAUCUUGCGCCGCUCGGUUUUCCGAGGGGCACGUCUGUUUGAGUGUCACGUUAAUCUAUCACUCACCUUCUGGUGAAGUGGACUUGGACUGUGCUGUCGUUUAUUCGACGGCUCGUCUCGAAAUGCAUUGUUGCCUGCAGAGUCUUGCGCGGAGCAAGGCUGACGAAACGGUGUGAUAUUUAUAUCUGCGCUGAAGUAGUUGGUUUUGAACUGCUGCACGAGGAGCGCUCUGGGCUUAUAAAGGCGAGGGUUUUUAAUUAAAUCCCCAAUUUUAUUUUUGCGUUUGACCUCAAAUCAGAUGGGACUACCCGCUGAACUUAAGCAUAUCAAUAAGCGGAGGA